rnacentral:rRNA from 1 species
AUUGAACGCUGGCGGAAUGCUUUACACAUGCAAGUCGAACGGCAGCACGGACUUCGGUCUGGUGGCGAGUGGCGAACGGGUGAGUAAUACAUCGGAACGUGCCCAGUCGUGGGGGAUAACGUAGCGAAAGCUACGCUAAUACCGCAUACGAUCUACGGAUGAAAGCGGGGGAUCGCGAGACCUCGCGCGAUUGGAGCGGCCGAUGGCAGAAUAGGUAGUUGGUGGGGUAAAGGCUCACCAAGCCGACGAUCUGUAGCUGGUCUGAGAGGACGACCAGCCACACUGGGACUGAGACACGGCCCAGACUCCUACGGGAGGCAGCAGUGGGGAAUUUUGGACAAUGGGCGCAAGCCUGAUCCAGCCAUUCCGCGUGCAGGAUGAAGGCCCUCGGGUUGUAAACUGCUUUUGUACGGAACGAAAAGGCUCUGGUUAAUACCCGGGGCUCAUGACGGUACCGUAAGAAUAAGCACCGGCUAACUACGUGCCAGCCGCCGCCGUAACAC